GGGCCCUUAGCUCAGUGGUAGAGUGCUCCGUUCGCAACGGAGAGGCCGCGGGUUCAAUCCCCGCAGGGUCCACCA
rnacentral:tRNA from 1 species